rnacentral:rRNA from 1 species
AGUGGUGGGGCAACCACCAAUAUUUAAUCCCCUAGUACUCCCCGURAUAAAGGAGAGUAAUURRUGGGGGGGGUUUUCCCCUCUGUGUGCAAAUCUCACACUAAAAACYCCCCUGUGGAGAAUGCUCCCAAAAGGGUAAAUCUCAAAAAAAUUUCGCGGGGGCCCACACAAGGGGGAGCACAUGGGGUUUUUAUUAAACACCACGCAAAACCCCUUCCCAGGUCUUCAUCUCCUCACAACUCUACAGAUAUGGGUUUUUCCCUUGGGGAACAAAGAGACAGGUGGUGCAUGGUUGUCGUCAGCUCGUGUUGUGAAAUGUUGGGUUAAGUCCCGCAACGAGCGCAACCCUUAUCUUUAGUUGCCAUCAAUAAGUUGGGCAAUUUAAAGGAACUUCCCAGUACUAACCGGAGGAAAGUGGGGAAGACCUCCAAUCCUCAUUCCCCUUAUGAUUCGGGCUUCCCCCGUGCUUCCAUGGGUGGUUCAAAGGGCAACCAACCCGCGAGGUCAAACAAAUCCCAUAAAACCAUUUUCAGUUCGGAUUGUAGUUUGCAACUCGGCUUCAUGAAACUGGAAUCGCUAGUAAUCGUAGAUCAGCAUUCUCCGGUGAAUACGUUUCCGGGUCUUGUACACACCGCCCGUCACACCACGAGAGUUUGUAACCCCCGAAGCCGGUGAAGUAACCUUUUGGGAAGGUAAGCCUACCU